rnacentral:rRNA from 1 species
CGAGCGGACAGAAGGGAGCUUGCUCCCGGAUGUUAGCGGCGGACGGGUGAGUAACACGUGGGUAACCUGCCUGUAAGACUGGGAUAACUCCGGGAAACCGGAGCUAAUACCGGAUAGUUCCUUGAACCGCAUGGUUCAAGGAUGAAAGACGGUUUCGGCUGUCACUUACAGAUGGACCCGCGGCGCAUUAGCUAGUUGGUGAGGUAACGGCUCACCAAGGCGACGAUGCGUAGCCGACCUGAGAGGGUGAUCGGCCACACUGGGACUGAGACACGGCCCAGACUCCUACGGGAGGCAGCAGUAGGGAAUCUUCCGCAAUGGACGAAAGUCUGACGGAGCAACGCCGCGUGAGUGAUGAAGGUUUUCGGAUCGUAAAGCUCUGUUGUUAGGGAAGAACAAGUGCAAGAGUAACUGCUUGCACCUUGACGGUACCUAACCAGAAAGCCACGGCUAACUACGUGCCAGCAGCCGCGGUAAUACGUAGGUGGCAAGCGUUGUCCGGAAUUAUUGGGCGUAAAGGGCUCGCAGGCGGUUUCUUAAGUCUGAUGUGAAAGCCCCCGGCUCAACCGGGGAGGGUCAUUGGAAACUGGGAAACUUGAGUGCAGAAGAGGAGAGUGGAAUUCCACGUGUAGCGGUGAAAUGCGUAGAGAUGUGGAGGAACACCAGUGGCGAAGGCGACUCUCUGGUCUGUAACUGACGCUGAGGAGCGAAAGCGUGGGGAGCGAACAGGAUUAGAUACCCUGGUAGUCCACGCCGUAAACGAUGAGUGCUAAGUGUUAGGGGGUUUCCGCCCCUUAGUGCUGCAGCUAACGCAUUAAGCACUCCGCCUGGGGAGUACGGUCGCAAGACUGAAACUCAAAGGAAUUGACGGGGGGCC